AGAAGACAAGAAUAAAAAGUGUAGCUUGAUAUGAGAUUGGGGCCGUUUGAUUUAUAGCCGUCCUUACAGGACCACAUUGCAAUGGCUUGUUAAUCGGGAACACCCACCUGAGGAACCAAGAUUCCAGUGCAGACUUCCAUAUGGGCUGGGCCUAGAGACUCCGACCACACCACAUGACAAAAUCAUGGAGAUUCCAUUGGACUAACGUCCUUGUUUCAGGAGAGCCGAAUGUCAGCCUCCACUUAUUACUUUAAGUGUUUAUUUACUUAUUAGAGUGUUUAACUGUUUUAUCUUUUUGUUAAAUGUUUUAUAGUUACUUGUUGCUAUGUGUGAUUGAUGAGGUGAUGGCCCCUUUAACGCUUCAGCUGACAUUUGAGAGGAGGAAGAAUGAAGGAUUCAAACAGACAGCGCAGGUUUAAUGAGCACUACAUUCCAACCAAAAGAUUGACAGAGGAAUAACAUCACUUCUAUCAAAGUAUCAUAUGGCCAAAGAGGAGAAGGACAAUGGA